CCGCCGGCGACCGGCGCACGGGUGAGUAACGCGUGGGUAACCUGCCCUGUACAGGGGGACAACAGUUAGAAAUGACUGCUAAUACCGCAUAAGCGCACAGGACCGCAUGGUCCGGUGUGAAAAACUCCGGUGGUACAGGAUGGACCCGCGUCUGAUUAGGUAGUUGGCGGGGUAACGGCCCACCAAGCCGACGAUCAGUAGCCGACCUGAGAGGGUGACCGGCCACAUUGGGACUGAGACACGGCCCAAACUCCUACGGAAGGCAGCAG
rnacentral:rRNA from 1 species